rnacentral:rRNA from 1 species
GAUCAUGGCUCAGAAUGAACGCUGGCGGCGUGCUUAACACAUGCAAGUCGAGCGCGAAAGUAACUUCGGUUACGAGUAGAGCGGCGGACGGGUGAGUAACACGUGGAUAACCUGCCUAGAAGAGGGGGACGACUCGAGGAAACUCGUGCUAAUACCGCGUACGCUCCUGAGACUUCGGUCGAUGGAGGAAAGGUGGCCUCUGAUUUAAGCUACCACUUCUAGAGGGGUCCGCGGAUGAUUAGCUUGUUGGUGAGGUAACGGCUCACCAAGGCUACGAUCAAUAGCCGGCCUGAGAGGGCGAUCGGCCACACUGGGACUGAGACACGGCCCAGACUCCUACGGGAGGCAGCAGUGGGGAAUAUUGGACAAUGGGCGAAAGCCUGAUCCAGCAACGCCGCGUGGAGGAUGAAGGCCCUAGGGUUGUAAACUCCUGUCAGUUGGGACGAAAAAGUAUGGGCGAAUAGUUCAUGCUCAUGACGGUACCUUCAGAGGAAGCCCCGGCUAACUCCGUGCCAGCAGCCGCGGUAAUACGGAGGGGGCGAGCGUUAUUCGGAAUUAUUGGGCGUAAAGGGCGUGUAGGCGGCCAAGUCAGUCAGCGGUGAAAUCCCUCGGCUCAACCGAGGAACUGCCCCUGAUACUGCUUGGCUUGAGGCCGGGAGAGGGUAGUGGAAUUCCCAGUGUAGCGGUGAAAUGCGUAGAUAUUGGGAGGAACACCAGUAGCGAAGGCGACUACCUGGACCGGUUCUGACGCUGAAGCGCGAAAGCAUGGGGAGCAAACAGGAUUACAUACCCUGGUAGUCCAUGCUGUA